GCCUUCUUGGCUCAGAUGGCAGAGCGUCUGCCUAGUAGGCCUUACGUAAGGGUUGCGAAAGCAGAAGGUCGAGAGUUCGAUUCUCUCAGAAGGCA